AUUACUCCUACGGGAGGCAGCAGUGGGGAAUAUUGCGCAAUGGGGGAAACCCUGACGCAGCAACGCCGCGUGAAGGAUGAAGGUUUUCGGAUUGUAAACUUCUUUUAUUUAGGACGAACAAUGACGGUACUAAAUGAAUAAGCUCCGGCUAACUACGUGCCAGCAGCCGCGGUAAUAAU
rnacentral:rRNA from 1 species